UGAUCGUGGUCCACAGGGGCUCUGAAA
rnacentral:sRNA from 1 species